UUGCUGAUGUCAUCAAGCUUUGUUUGAGUCUGCGCGUCAGAAACGGAAGUGCUAAAAAAAACGCUAAAAAUGGGCUUCACUUGUCUCAAUUGAGUUCCAAUGGGGUCGCUGUGUCCAUUUCUUUUACUGUCUAUGAUGAAAACAGCUCCCUGAUAAAGAGGUUGACUGGCUCAAAGUAUUUUGAGUAUUUUGAAAAUACAAAAAUACUCGUCUUAAAUGUAUUUAAAUACAAAUUAUAUUUGAUUUUUUCCAAAGGCUUUAAAAUACAAAAUAGUAUUUUGUAUUUCAAAUCUGAAAUACUGCCCAUCCCUGAUCACAGGUUAUGCAGUGUCUUGUUUACAUUUGAAUUUUUUUUACAUUUCUGUAUUAGGGCUGCACAAUUAAUAGAAUUUCUAAUCGCAAUUACAAUUAUGGAUGGAUGCUAUAAUUACAUGAUCAUUCAAAGCAGCAAUUAAUCAUUCAAAUUCCACUUAUGUUAAGCCGAGUUCAGACUGAACGAUUUUAUCCCUGAUUUCGGCUCGCCAACAGUUUUUAAGAAAUCGCCAACAAAUGCCCGAAAUCACAGGCAAAUCGGUGCUCAUUCACGCGAGCAAAAUGAGCAAAGAUGUGAUCUGAGAGAAUCGCAGACAAAAUCCAUACACAGUAAAUGAAAUGGACACAGCGACCCCAUUGGAUUCAAUGGAGACAAGUGAAGUCAAAUAGAAGCACGCACUUUCUGGGGGUCGUGAGUACUGCGCAGACUCAAACUGAGCUUGAUGACGUAGGGGUCACGUGAGCAACCUGUCUGACAAUUGUAAGUCUUCUAAUAGCUGUGCCAAGAGAAUCUGAAUUAUUUCCAAUUCCUUGCUUUUUUGGACUCUAUUACCUGCGAGCUUCUCCUCCUGUCCAUAUGGUAAUUUCUCUACUGUGCGACAGAGAGUCACAGGUUAUGACGCAAUCGUUAGCCUACUUUUACAAAAACUGCUUCUAUGGGACCACAACGUAAAAUACGAGGUAAUGGGGCCUUUUAUACAUUAUCUUUAAACGCAUCAGAUGUAAAGUUAUUCGCUGUUAAAGUGACGCCAAAAUGAAUGGGAGUCAAUGGAAUACUAACAGCAGGUGGGGGUCCGCUAGCCAAUGGCGGAGCCCAGGGAUGCUUGAAAACUAGAUCUGUGAUGAAUGACAGCCAAUGAGAGAGCAAGAUACAGAGCUUCAGGGAGGAGUUAUAGACCACAAUAUCCCUGCGUCUCCCCAACCAUUUCAUCCUCCAUAUUCUUCUUUUUUUUUCUUAUUUUCACUGCAAAUCAGCACACAGGCAAUUUAUAUUGCAAGCUUCUGGCGGGCUGUUUAAUAAUAAUCUAAGUCUCACGUGAGAACUCCGGUCUUGCACGUGUGAUAUCACGUUGUUUCCUUGUCACAUCUCGCAUGUGUUUGGUUGUGAAACGUAGUUUACGAUUCUUCUUAUUUUAAAGUCAUGCAGUGUGUAACCUGUCGCCGAUCCAUUGUGCAGUGGGAACACAGCAGUGACUGAAUGCUGGCCAAGAUAGUCCUGCAGUGUGAAAAGAACAGUGACCCGACUACUUUUGAAAAUUGUGCAGUCUGAGCUCGGCUUUAUUCUACGAUGUUGUUGUUUUUUUCCUUCUACAUGUUAUCUUAAUGGGUUUUUCCAUUUUUUUAAUUUUAGUAUAUCAUUAUAAUAAUAACAUUUACAUUUAUAUUUUUACUUUUUUUAUUAUUAUUUAAAGAAGAAACCAGUCCAAUGUAUAUUUGAGAUUUGAGGCUUAAUACUAUAGAAAAAAUACUAAAGGUUUUCAAUUAGAGUUUUUUUUAGCUCAAAAAUACGGCACGCAGUUGCAUCAAACAAUGGUAUAAACAUCAUGCAAUGUAAAUUGUGAAAAUCAUAUAAUUUCAAGGGAAUAAUCGACAAUUAUGACUUUUGUAAUAAUCGUGCAGCCCUAUAAUGUAGUACUUUGUACAAAUAACUACUAACUCAUAUCAUGAAGUGUAUCACGAAGUAUGUUGGUCAUGUUGCCUAUAAGUAUUGAACAGACAAGCUAUUUUAUGUGUGUUUAUUUUCUGUUAUCUUCGAAGUGUUCGUUUUUUAACAAUCUGCUAAAACAUUAAAAACAGUGAUUAAAAAAUUAUGCUCUGGUGUUCUCAUUUCAGAUCUGCACAAACUGAUAUAUUUUAAGGUUAAAUGAAAAAACUGUUAUUGUUGCAUGCAUUUGGUGGGUUUUCUCACUGGUUACUUAUCCUGCAGAAAAUAUGACUGGCAGCUGUAUAGAGCCAACAAAUAUGAAUUUCAGUCUCUGAAACCUUUUUUUGAGCACACAAUAACUUAGGGAGUAGUUCUGUGUAGAGCUUGUUUUGAUGAGUUGCCACUAACUCUUGCAUUAUUGUCAACAUAUGGUCAUAAUGUGAUUCCAUGCAAACUUUUGUCCCUUGGCACUUAAUAGGACCACAAAAAGUGGGUGCUACAGAAUGAAAACAUGUUGUUGAAGGGUAUGGGUAAAAUUACUUUUAUAGGAUUUUGUCAAUUAUAAAAAGUUUUUAGAGGUGGAGCAUGAAAAAUUACAAACAACAUUAUUUAUUACUUUUUGUGAUAAUAUGUCUGGUAUAUUAGUAAUAUUAUGUGUGAGGAACAUCAUUUUAUGCUGUACUGUAAUUACACAUUCUAGACAUGUUCUUUGGUAGCACCUGCUGGUGGGAUCUCCAAAUUGCAAAUACACAGAUUUUCUCACAACUCCUGAUUUGAACAUGUGGUCAGUGAUAUUGUGAUUUUGACUAAAAUAUAUACAUAACUGCAAAUUUCUACAAACCACUGCCAUAUUGUUCCAUUCCAAAAUUACUUGGUGUUUAUCAGAUCAUUAAAAUGUAUGCAAAACAAAAGGCUUUUAUGCCAUCAUUCAUGUGACUUUGUUUGUUUUGAAGUUAAAUGUAAAAUAUUGAUAACUUUUUAAGUAUAUCUUUAAAAUACAACUGACUCCAGCCUGCACCCAUAUGAUGUCAAUUUAGCUAGAAAAAGGGAUGAAUAUGUAAAAGUGCUGUAUGAGCAUGUGUUGUUCUCUGACUUCCCCUCUGGUCUGUGUGGUCGAGUUUCAUCUGAAGCUCAGUAGUGUUUCCGCUCACAGUAUACGAGAUGUUUGAAUGAGCACAGUACAGAAGAUAUUCAUCUGGAUCAGACAAUGAAGAUUAUACAGCUUCACUUCUGUGAGUAUAUCAUGUCACAUUUGAUUAACUUAUUUAUUUGUUUUGUCAAUUGUAAUCUUAAUUAACUGUGUUUUUCUUUCUCUCAUAGUUCUGUUGAUGUGUUCUCAAGCCACAGAGAGUUUAACAAACACUUCAGUAACUUUAGGAGCAGAUGUGAUUAUAAACUGUGAUCUUGAUAUAGAGGAGAUUUACUGAAAUAUCAGCGCUGAUGAAUUAGGAGUUUAUUAUUGUGUCAAAACUAGUGAACCACUCAAAUUCAGCAACGGCACCAAAAUCUACAUCAACGAUUCAGCUCAUUGGAAUCAGACAAAAUUACAUAAUGCUCCACAACAGGAGAUACCAUGGAGAAUCCUGACCAUCACAUCUGCUCUGUUCAUUGUGCUUUUGAUCACCGCUUUAAUAGGUUUGGGAAAGAGCUACCUCCAGUUAAGAAGAUUAAAAAAUGUAUCAGAAAACCCUCAAAGUACCACAACAGCUCAAUACUCAGAUAGUUCACAGUAUGCUGUGGUUGAUUUGCCCGUGCAAUCCAGUGAAAACAGACUUUUCCAGGAGCAGAGCGUCUAUUCUCUUCUACAGCCUACAAAAAGUGCUAAGUAAUAUACGUUAUAAAUAGAAUUUAGAUAUAAAAAUAUCUAACUUUGUUUACCACUUCUGUACUUCUAUUUGAACUAAAUCUGUCAACAAGAUUACUGGACUUAAAAUCUGCUUAUAUAAAUAUUCAGUGCAACUGAAACUUGUGCCUGUAUGAAUGCAGACAGUAAUAAUCAGUUCUGAGGUGAUUUGUCACAUUAUUUAAAUUUUUAAAGUUCCACAAGAAAAAUGUAAUUAAUUAUUCGUACUGGUCGAAAAUAAAAUGAACGGACAAUAGUGAACACUGGGGCUAUUAGGCACAGAAGGCAGUGGUCACAGGAGAUGUUUCUCAGUAAUUAUAAAGAAUAAAGGUGUGUUUUUUGACUCGUGGUUUAACUGAGGUUGAGCUGUGCUCUCAUCACAAGAGUAUUCUGUAUGGUUAUUUUUGUUUGUUCAUGUUUGCUGCUGUGUGAAUUGUUAUAAGCAGACGAGCAGUAGGUGAAUGUAAUGCUCUCGUCUGUUAUGAAAUGUUCCUGUUUUGAAAGUAGAUCUUGCUUUUACAGCUCUUGCUUCAAACUAGCAGUGAGUUGCAUGUAAACCACAGGGUAAUGAGGUUUCUAGGAGCUGAAGCAGCUUCUCAGCCAGUUUCAUGAACCAUCAUGCAAUCAAUAAUCCUUAAUCUUGAGCAAUACAACACAUCCGCUAGCAAUUCUGAAGAUAAAAUUCAUUCCUUGAAUUGUUUUCAAAUUCAGCUGAAUUCAUUCAGAUUUUCGUGUAUCAUAAAGAUUUCACAUGAAGCUGGAAAUCACAAGGAACAACUUUUAAUGUUUGGACUAAAGAGAUUUUUUGACUCUCUUAUUAACAGUUUUUCAUAUUUUUAUUUUAUUUUCUUGUAUGUGUUAAAAAGUCUAACUUCUGCACAGCUCUUCUCUGUGGUUAACAUACAGCGUGGGUUUUUGCAAAUGAACACAGUUUCCACAGUUUGGUCACUUGACUGACAUAAGUGCAUUUCUAGUAGACCAGAUUAAUUGUUUGUUUUUUGCAAAUGAAAGUAAAUCUGCAAGGCAUAGACAUACAAUCAUUUCAAUGGCAUGCACUGUGAAGGCUCUGGAUAACAUGCAAUAUAUAAAAAAAAAAUUUCUCUAGCUAAACUAAUGUCUUGUUAUCCAACAGUACAGUGCUCUAGACUCUACUUGGCUGUGCUCAACCCCUAUGGGGUAGGUUUGUGUCUUGUUUCUGGACUUCAAUAAAGCUUAUUUAACUCUG